CCUACGGGAGGCAGCAGUGGGGAAUCUUGCGCAAUGGGCGAAAGCCUGACGCAGCAACGCCGCGUGCGGGAUGAAGGCCUUCGGGUUGUAAACCGCUUUUAACAGGAACGAAAAUGACGGUACCUGUAGAAUAAGGUGCGGCCAACUACGUGCCAGCAGCCGCGGUGACACGUAGGCACCAAGCGUUGUCCGGAUUUAUUGGGCGUAAAGAGCUCGUAGGCGGUUCGAUAAGUCGGGUGUGAAAACUCUGGGCUUAACCCAGAGACGCCACUCGAUACUAUUGUGACUAGAGUUCGGUAGGGGAGCGGGGAAUUCCUAGUGUAGCGGUGAAAUGCGCAGAUAUUAGGAGGAACACCGGUGGCGAAGGCGCCGCUCUGGGCCGAAACUGACGCUGAGGAGCGAAAGCGUGGGUAGCAAACAGGAUUAGAUACCCUGGUAGUCCACGCCGUAAACGGUGGGCACUAGGUGUGGGCUCCAACCAACGGAGUCCGCGCCGUCGCUAACGCAUUAAGUGCCCCGCCUGGGGAGUACGGCCGCAAGGUUAAACUUAAAUGAAUUGAGG
rnacentral:rRNA from 1 species